rnacentral:tRNA from 1 species
GCCCCCGUCGAUUAAAGGAUAAAUCAGCGGACUUCUAUACCGCCAAUCCCGGUCCGAAUCCGGGCGGGGGCUCCA